AACGAGAGAUGAGGAGCUUGCUCUUCAAAUCGAGUGGCGAACGGGUGAGUAACGCGUGAGUAACCUGCCCUAGAGUGGGGGACAACAGUUGGAAACGACUGCUAAUACCGCAUAAGCCCACGGUGCCGCAUGACACUGAGGGAAAAGGAUUUAUUCGCUUUAGGAUGGACUCGCGUCCAAUUAGCUAGUUGGUGAGGUAACGGCCCACCAAGGCGACGAUUGGUAGCCGGACUGAGAGGUUGAACGGCCACAUUGGAACUGAGACACGGUCCAAACUCC
rnacentral:rRNA from 1 species